rnacentral:rRNA from 1 species
CAGCCGCCGCGGGAAUACGAAGGGUGCAAGCGUUACUCGGAAUUACUGGGCGUAAAGCGUGCGUAGGUGGUGGUUUAAGUCCGUUGUGAAAGCCCUGGGCUCAACCUGGGAAUUGCAGUGGAUACUGGGUCACUAGAGUGUGGUAGAGGAUAGUAGAAUUUCCGGUGUAGCAGUGAAAUGCGUAGAGAUCGGAAGGAACAUCUGUGGCGAAGGCGACUAUCUGGGCCAACACUGACACUGAGGCACGUAAGCGUGGGGAGCAAACAGGAUUAGAUACCCCCGUAGUCCCUGUCUCUUAUAC